rnacentral:rRNA from 1 species
GAUGAACGCUGGCGGCGUGCCUAAUACAUGCAAGUCGAGCGAACGGACGAGAAGCUUGCUUCUCUGAUGUUAGCGGCGGACGGGUGAGUAACACGUGGAUAACCUACCUAUAAGACUGGGAUAACUUCGGGAAACCGGAGCUAAUACCGGAUAAUAUUUUGAACCGCAUGGUUCAAAAGUAAAAGACGGUCUUGCUGUCACUUAUAGAUGGAUCCGCGCUGCAUUAGCUAGUUGGUAAGGUAACGGCUUACCAAGGCAACGAUGCAUAGCCGACCUGAGAGGGUGAUCGGCCACACUGGAACUGAGACACGGUCCAGACUCCUACGGGAGGCAGCAGUAGGGAAUCUUCCGCAAUGGGCGAAAGCCUGACGGAGCAACGCCGCGUGAGUGAUGAAGGCCUUCGGAUCGUAAAACUCUGUUAUUAGGGAAGAACAUAUGUGUAAGUAACUGUGCACAUCGUGACGGUACCUAAUCAGAAAGCCACGGCUAACUACG